UACGGAGGGGACUAGCGUUGUUCGGAAUUACUGGGCGUAAAGCGCACGUAGGCGGAUUUGUAAGUCAGGGGUGAAAUCCCGGGGCUCAACCUCGGAACUGCCUCUGAUACAGCAAGUCUUGAGUCCGGAAGAGGUGGGUGGAAUUCCUAGUGUAGAGGUGAAAUUCGUAGAUAUUAGGAAGAACACCGGUGGCGAAGGCGGCCCACUGGUCCGGUACUGACGCUGAGGUGCGAAAGCGUGGGGAGCAAACAGG
rnacentral:rRNA from 1 species